GAUGAACGCUGGCGGCGUGCCUAAUACAUGCAGGUCGAGCGAACGGACGAGAAGCUUGCUUCUCUGAUGUUAGCGGCGGACGGGUGAGUAACACGUGGAUAACCUACCUAUAAGACUGGGAUAACUUCGGGAAACCGGAGCUAAUACCGGAUAAUAUUUUGAACCGCAUGGUUCAAAAGUGAAAGACGGUCUUGCUGUCACUUAUAGAUGGAUCCGCGCUGCAUUAGCUAGUUGGUAAGGUAACGGCUUACCAAGGCAACGAUGCAUAGCCGACCUGAGAGGGUGAUCGGCCACACUGGAACUGAGACACGGUCCAGGCUCCUACGGGAGGCAGCAGUAGGGAAUCUUCCGCAAUGGGCGAAAGCCUGACGGAGCAACGCCGCGUGAGUGAUGAAGGUCUUCGGAUCGUAAAACUCUGUUAUUAGGGAAGAACAUAUGUGUAAGUAACUGUGCACAUCUUGACGGUACCUAAUCAGAAAGCCACGGCUAACUACGUG
rnacentral:rRNA from 1 species